rnacentral:rRNA from 1 species
AACGUAGGACACAAGCGUUAUCCGGAGUUACUGGGCGUAAAGGGCGUGUAGGCGGAUCGGUAAGUCUACUCUGAAAGCUCCUGGCUAAACUGGGAGAGGUCCUUGCAUACUGGCGAACUCGAGGGAGGCAGAGGAAAGUGGAAUUCCCGGUGUAGUGGUGAUAUGCGUAGAUAUCGGGAGGAACACCUGUGGCGAAGGCGGCUUUCUGGGCCUUACCUGACGCUGAGACGCGAAAGCGUGGGGAGCGAACCGG